rnacentral:rRNA from 1 species
AGUGAACGCUGGCGGUAGGCCUAACACAUGCAAGUCGAACGGCAGCACAGUAAGAGCUUGCUCUUACGGGUGGCGAGUGGCGGACGGGUGAGGAAUACAUCGGAAUCUACUUUUUCGUGGGGGAUAACGUAGGGAAACUUACGCUAAUACCGCAUACGACCUACGGGUGAAAGCAGGGGAUCUUCGGACCUUGCGCGAUUGAAUGAGCCCAUGUCGGAUUAGCUAGUUGGCGGGGUAAAGGCCCACCAAGGCGACGAUCCGUAGCUGGUCUGAGAGGAUGAUCAGCCACACUAGAACUGAGACACGGUCCAGACUCCUACGGGAGGCAGCAGUGGGGAAUAUUGGACAAUGGGCGCAAGCCUGAUCCAGCCAUACCGCGUGGGUGAAGAAGGCCUUCGGGUUGUAAAGCCCUUUUGUUGGGAAAGAAAAGCAGCAGGUUAAUACCCCGCUGUUCUGACGGUACCCAAAGAAUAAGCACCGGCUAACUUCGUG